rnacentral:rRNA from 1 species
UACGUAGGGAGCAAGCGUUGUCCGGAAUCAUUGGGCGUAAAGAGCGUGUAGGCGGUUCGGUAAGUCCGCUGUGAAAGUCAAGGGCUCAACCCUUGAAUGCCGGUGGAUACUGCCGAACUAGAGUCCGGAAGAGGCGAGUGGAAUUCCUGGUGUAGCGGUGAAAUGCGCAGAUAUCAGGAGGAACACCGAUGGCGAAGGCAGCUCGCUGGGACGGUACUGACGCUGAGACGCGAAAGCGUGGGGAGCAAACAGG